UACGUAGGGUGCGAGCGUUAAUCGGAAUUACUGGGCGUAAAGCGUGCGCAGGCGGUCUGUUAAGACCGAUGUGAAAUCCCCGGGCUUAACCUGGGAACUGCAUUGGUGGCUGGCAAGCUUUGAGUGUGGCAGAGGGAGGUAGAAUUCCACGUGUAGCAGUGAAAUGCGUAGAGAUGUGGAGGAAUACCGAUGGCGAAGGCAGCCUCCUGGGCCAACACUGACGCUCAUGCACGAAAGCGUGGGGAGCAAACAGG
rnacentral:rRNA from 1 species